rnacentral:rRNA from 1 species
UACGGAGGGUGCGAGCGUUGUCCGGAAUCACUGGGCGUAAAGGGCGCGUAGGCGGUCUGUUAAGCGUGUGGUGAAAGCUCGGGGCUCAACCCCGAGUCUGCCAUGCGAACUGGUGGACUUGAGCACUGUAGAGGCAGGUGGAAUUCCGGGUGUAGCGGUGGAAUGCGUAGAUAUGUGGAGGAACACCGAUGGCGAAGGCAGCCCCCUGGGAUGUGACUGACGCUCAUGUACGAAAGCGUGGGGAGCAAACAGG